rnacentral:rRNA from 1 species
AUACAUGGGCGACGACCGGCAAACGGGUGCGUAACACGUACGCAAUCUACCCACUACAGGGGAAUAGCCCAGGGAAACUUGGAUUAAUACCCCAUAUUAUAUAGGAGUGGCAUCACUUUUAUAUCAAAGCUUCGGCGGUAGUGGAUGAGCGUGCGGUUGAUUAGAUAGUUGGCGGGGUAACGGCCCACCAAGUCUACGAUCAAUAGCUGAUGUGAGAGCAUGAUCAGCCACACGGGCACUGAGACACGGGCCCGACUCCUACGGGAGGCAGCAGUAAGGAAUAUUGGGCAAUGGACGCAAGUCUGACCCAGCCAUGCCGCGUGAAGGAUGAAGGUCCUCUGGAUUGUAAACUUCUUUUAUCUGGGGCGAAAACAACUCUUUCUAGAGUUCUUGACAGUACCAGAGGAAUAAGCACCGGCUAACUCCGUGCCAGCAGCCGCGGUAAUACGGAGGGUGCAAGCGUUAUCCGGAUUCACUGGGUUUAGAGGGUGCGUAGGCGGGUUAGUAAGUCAGU